CCCUUAGAUGUUCUGGGCCGCACGCGCGCUACACUGGCAAGGCCAACGAGUUUAUAACCUUCACCGGUAGGUGUGGGUAAUCUUUUGAACCCUUGUCGUGCUGGGGCUAGAUCUUUGUAAUUUUCGAUCUUCAACGAGGAAUUCCUAGUAAGCGUGAUUCAUCAGAUCGCGUUGAUUACGUCCCUGCCCUUUGUACACACCGCCCGUCGCUCCUACCGAUCGAAGAGUUAGGUGAAUUGUUUUGAUCGAUAAGAUUUGACUAUGGUCAACUCUCGUUGUGAAAUUCUGUGAAUCUGACUGUUUAGAGGAAGGAAAAGUCGUAACA
rnacentral:rRNA from 1 species